GAAGACGUAACCUUUAUGUAGCUUUGCAGGCAAAAAUGAGGUAACCUAAAAGGCUUUCUCAUCCGACUUGAUAAAGUAAAAUACAAAUCCACCAUGUUUUUUAAAUGGUUUUGGCUUCUUGAAAUCGAAGCUUACAAAAACCUUUCUUUUUUUUCUUUUGGAUAACGCUUAUCAAAAAAAGGUGGAAAAGCUGAGGUCGGAAAGACGAUGCAAAAUUCAGACAUCACAAGGGACUAUGAUAUGGGGGAAAUGAAAAUAAGUCGGUACAAUCCAGUUAUAGCGACUUGUAUGAUCGAGUUCUAGUAGAAGAUCAAAGAAACAAUUAUUGCAUCCGUAUUUUAGUUAUGGGCCGACCUAGGUUCCUAUCCCUUCGGACGAGGGCAAGAAAUAUAGCUCUAGCUAGGCCCUGUUUAAAAUGCAAACAAACUUCUGAUGUUGAUCUGACUGCUAGGGUUGAAUUUCCAAGCUUACCUGUUGAUUUAAAGCCGGUUCGACAGUCUACGGAGAUACUUUAACUGAAUUUGUAUGGAAAAAAAUAAUAUUCAAAAUUUAAUUCAAAUAAUUUAUAUAAUUAUUUUAAAAAGUAAUAUUUUGAAGUUAGUAUUUUUUUCCUUAUGUUUAAGUACGUACGGCAUUCAUUAUAAAAAAUAUAUAUUACAAUGGUAGCCAUAUAUGCUAGGUGAUGAUUCUGAGUAACGAUUAUAGUCAGCGGUUUUUUUGCAAUGCGUAACAUGAUCAAGAGUGGAUCCAACGACGCAAUUGGUGGAUGAUACGGGAACUGAUUAGUACCAGCUCAGCAAGGGAGUCUGUUAGUUUGAUUAUGCCACUUCACCUAAUUUGUUAAGAGUUAGUUUAAAAAAAAGAGAUGUUAAUAUUUAAUAUGGAAUGAUCAUUUCAAA
rnacentral:lncRNA from 1 species